rnacentral:rRNA from 1 species
CUAGAGAUUAGUUUGAUCCUGGCUCAGGACGAACGCUGGCGGCGGGCUUAACACAUGCAAGUUGAAGGAGAAUCCUGGAUUUCGGUCUGGGAGGAGACUGGCGCACGGGUGAGUAACGCGUAGAUAAUCUGCCUAUAGCUGGGGGAUAACCCCGCGAAAGCGGGGCUAAUACCGCAUGAUGCAGCGGGGCCGCAUGGCCACAGUUGUUAAAGUUCAGGCGGCUAUAGAUGAGUCUGCGUGCUAUUAGUUAGUUGGUAGGGUAAAGGCCUACCAAGACGAUGAUAGCUAGGGGGUCUGAGAGGAUGAUCCCCCACACUGGGACUGAGACACGGCCCAGACUCCUACGGGAGGCAGCAGUGAGGAAUCUUGCGCAAUGGAGGAAACUCUGACGCAGCCACGCCGCGUGCCGGAAGACGGCCCUAUGGGUUGUAAACGGCUUUUGAUUGGGAAGAAAGGGUGGGUUUUGACCUAUUUUGACGGUACCGAUUGAAUAAGCACCGGCUAACUCCGUGCCAGCAGCCGCGGUAAUACGGAGGGUGCAAGCGUUGUCCGGAAUUAUUGGGUGUAAAGGGUGCGUAGGCUGGCUCUUAAGUCUGAGGUGAAAUCUUGCCGCUUAACGGUAAAAUGGCCUUGGAUACUGAGAGUCUUGAAUCUGACAGAGGUCGGUGGAAUUCGUAGUGUAGCGGUGAAAUGCAUAGAUAUUACGAAGAACACCAGUGGCGAAGGCGGCCGGCUGGGUCAGUAUUGACGC